rnacentral:lncRNA from 1 species
UAGUUUGGUUUUGGUAAUGGUUUGUGAGAUGUUUGAUAUAUGUGGCUGUGUUUUCCCUUAAAGGAAACCUGGGGUUGACAUGGGUAUUGGGUGUUGAUAUGGUUAGGGCUGCUAGAGCCAGGUAGUAUGAAAAAGUGCCACGUAUGCUGGGUGGCUCACACCUGUAAUCCCAGCACUGGGAGGCUGAGGCGGGUGGAUCAGUUGAGAUCAGGAGUUCGAGACCAGCCUGGCCAACAUGGUGAAACCCCAUCUCCACCAAAAAAUACAAAAUUAGCCUGGUGGUGCUCGCCUGUAGACCUGGCUACUCAGACGGCUGAGGCAGGAGAAUCACUCGAACCCAGGAGGUGGAGGUUGUAGCAGUGAGCCAAGAUUGUGCCACUGCACUCCAGCCUGGGUAACAGUGAGACUCCGUCUCAAAAAAAAAAAAAAAAGUGCCAUGUAGUCCCUGUGUGGGGCAGGCCCCAAUCAGUGCAUGUGGGAGGAAGAUGUCAGCAAUAAUGACCUAUAAUCAGGAGACCACAUACAGGUGGCAGGUACUGGGCAGUUUAACUCCCUGGCAAUUUAAGCUUGUCAUUUCUCUAAAACAGUUUCUGCCAUGUCAGAUUUGUGAAGGCUUGGUUUUGCCCUCAGCCACCCGCCACUGCACCUGACCAGGUCUCUGUUGGCUGGUGCAAUCCAGUGGUGAGCUGAUAGUAAACCCCAGCUUAGGAAACAGGGUUGUUCUUCAUGUGGAUGACUCUGUGCCGAAAGCAUGGGAACAGCCUAGAAAUGAAAUGAAGGACACAUGAUCUGCUUUGGCUUCAGACUUUAAAAGAGCUUUU